UACGAAGGGGGCUAGCGUUGCUCGGAAUCACUGGGCGUAAAGCGCACGUAGGCGGAUUGCUAAGUCAGGGGUGAAAUCCCGGGGCUCAACCUCGGAACUGCCUUUGAUACUGACAAUCUCGAGUCCGGAAGAGGUGGGUGGAAUUCCUAGUGUAGAGGUGAAAUUCGUAGAUAUUAGGAAGAACACCAGUGGCGAAGGCGGCCCACUGGUCCGGUACUGACGCUGAGGUGCGAAAGCGUGGGGAGCAAACAGG
rnacentral:rRNA from 1 species